UACGGAGGGUGCAAGCGUUAUCCGGAUUCACUGGGUUUAAAGGGUGCGUAGGUGGGUUGGUAAGUCAGUGGUGAAAUCUCCGAGCUUAACUUGGAAACUGCCAUUGAUACUAUUAAUCUUGAAUAUUGUGGAGGUCAGCGGAAUAUGUCAUGUAGCGGUGAAAUGCUUAGAGAUGACAUAGAACACCAAUUGCGAAGGCAGCUGGCUACACAUAUAUUGACACUGAGGCACGAAAGCGUGGGGAUCAAACAGG
rnacentral:rRNA from 2 species